rnacentral:rRNA from 1 species
UACGUAGGGGGCAAGCGUUGUCCGGAUUUAUUGGGCGUAAAGAGCGUGUAGGCGGUCAGGUAGGUCCGUUGUGAAAACUCGAGGCUCAACCUCGAGACGCCGAUGGAAACCAUCUGACUAGAGUCCGGAAAGAGGAGAGUGGAAUUCCUGGUGUAGCGGUGAAAUGCGCAGAUAUCGGGAGGAACACCGGUGGCGAAGGCGGGUUCUCUGGGGCCCCUAC